CAGCAUUAAAGUUUGCUUGCAAACUUUAGAUGGCGACCGGCGCACGGGUGAGUAACACGUAUCCAACCUGCCGAUAACUCGGGGAUAGCCUUUCGAAAGAAAGAUUAAUACCCGAUGGUAUAUUUUCACCGCAUGGUGAAACUAUUAAAGAAUUUCGGUUAUCGAUGGGGAUGCGUUCCAUUAGGCAGUUGGUGAGGUAACGGCUCACCAAACCUUCGAUGGAUGGGGGUUCUGAGAGGAAGGUCCCCCACAUUGGAACUGAGACACGGUCCAAACUCCUACGGGAGGCAGCAGUGAGGAAUAUUGGUCAAUGGGCGCGAGCCUGAACCAGCCAAGUAGCGUGAAGGAUGACGGCCCUAUGGGUUGUAAACUUCUUUUAUAUGGGAAUAAAGUUUGGUAUGUAUACCAUUUUGUAUGUACCAUAUGAAUAAGGAUCGGCUAACUCCGUGCCAGCAGCCGCGGUAAUACGGAGGAUCCGAGCGUUAUCCGGAUUUAUUGGGUUUAAAGGGAGCGUAGGUGGAUUGUUAAGUCAGUUGUGAAAGUUUGCGGCUCAACCGUAAAAUUGCAGUUGAAACUGGCAGUCUUGAGUACAGUAGAGGUGGGCGGAAUUCGUGGUGUAGCGGUGAAAUGCUUAGAUAUCACGAAGAACUCCGAUUGCGA
rnacentral:rRNA from 1 species